AGCAGAAAACAUUGACAAGCCAAAAGAAUUGUUCUGAAAAAAUUAGGUUAUUUAAUUAGCAAAAUCAAACUUUUGUAAAAACUACAUCUGUGAUGUCAAUAACAUUGCUUGUCUGUAUGAGAUGACAUAGUAUUUCUAAGAGUAAAAAGCAUCGUUCAGUCGGAGAAAGUGUUACUAUUGAUAAGGUCACAUUGUACCUGCUAUUUGCACAACAUGCAAAAAGAGUUUCCAGUGAUUCCAUCUGAAGAUGAUAAAUACAGGAGAAAAGAGAACUGUGCAUAUGUAUGAAAACCUUUGCACUCAGUUAAUAUAAAAUCUUCCUACUUUGUACUGCCAGUGGUUAAAAUAACAGUUAUAGAAAAAAGGUAUUUGUCUAAUUGCGUAGAAAUGACAUGUUCAAAUGAUGUUAGGGAGGAUUUGCUACUUGUUAAUGGCAAUGACACAUCAAGAAAGCUAUUACAUGAUAUUGAUAUAUUUUAAAAUGAAUGUAAUAUGAAAGACUAUUGGAUUCUGAUGUCAACUAAUUUUAGUCUAUAAACCUUGUUUAAAAUGUAGAAUCUAGAGGAAGUUUCAAAAUAAUAGAAUAGCAGGAAGAAGUACAAUGAGCUCUCCAUCUCUCCAGGCUGCCACAGGAAAAAAAUUCUCUUUAAAAAAGAUAUACAAAUGCUCCAGACUGAAUCUUUAUCAGGAAAUCCAAGAAGGAAAAUUACAAUGAAUCAUUUUUCCACUUCAGAUUAAUUCAGAGAGAUGCAGAGGGAAGUCAGCUGAUGCUAGGGACAGGAUCUGGGCAGGAGCACAGGAGCAUUCCAUCACAGGGGCACGUGGCAAGCAUUUAAUACAUGUUCCUUGACUUGUUGCCUGGGAGAAACCAUGAACAAGAAGCAAGACAAGGUCCCAGAUCAGCAAAGAGGAUCUUAGGAUCUAUUGUAAGCCAUAGGAAUAAGUGGCAAUUCAGUUGCUUACUUCCCUGGUCCAGGACCCAGAUCCAAGGUGGACAAAUAAUUGUGGGAAAACCAGGCUGCAUAUCGAGCAGAGGACAAAUUUGAAAACAAAUUGUAGCCGUGUGACCCUGACCCCAGGAAAAGAGUAGGGGCUCAGUUCCAGCCUCUAGUCCUGUCUGAAACCUGUAGCAGAACCAGAGCAGGAAUCCUAGACUGAAGGAGAGCAUUCAGUUCUGUCCCACUGAACCAGCAGAGCAUCUCAGCUGGCUAAUAGUGGGUGAAUCCCACAGCAGUCUACUGGAACUCCAAAUAAAUAGACAAGCUCACAGGCCUAUUGCUCAGAUGCAAGCCCACAACAGGAGUUUGCAGAGCUCUGAUGAGGGGAGCAGUGGUCAGACUUUGCUCUGGAUCAGAUCACUUUAGGAUCACUGAAAGCUUUUAGGUCCCCAGUCUGAGCUAUCCUUGAGAUCCUGCCAUAGCAUAACAAUACCCCCCAAGAAAGCAUGACAAAGGUCAACCUAGACAUUUCUUCUAAAAGUGUAGAGCGUCUGGCCCUAACAUCAAGUCACAAGUCAAGAAGAAGCUUGGAAGAAUGAGCAAACAAAAAAGGAAUCUCACUGUAAACAGCUUUUAUGGGGAUAGGGAUGCUUAAGUUUAAAAAGAGAGUUACAAUGAUUUUUUUAAUGAAAAAAGUGUUAGUGGUUAGAAAAAAUGGGAAAAGAAAUGAGAACUACAAAAGAAUGAAUUCGAAAAGGAAUAAAGAGGUUAGUACAAGAGAUAUAAAAACUUACCCAAGCAACAAACUCCCCCCAAAUUAGAAUAGACCAAUCUAGGAAGACUUGGACUCAAAUUCAAAAUGGGAUUCAUGCCUCUGAUGCCUGAGCAAAUAUAGCCUCUUAAUACUUUAAGAAACUCUUAUCACCAAGUUUUUCUACUCCCCCAAGACUUUAGUGUGUGUGUGUGUGUGUGUGUGUGUGUGUGUGUUUCCAAAUGCCUACAGGAACAAUUUUAAACAUUUGUUUUUCAGUCUAAAUUCUUUCCCUCCCUCCUCUCUCUUCCCUGAGGCAAUAUGAUAUGUUAUGCAUGUGCUGUCAUGCAAUAUAUAUUUCAUAUUCAUCAUAUUGUAAUUUCAUUUUUUUCAAUUACAUGUAGAAACAACCUUUGAAAAUUCUUUCUUCUGUCCUAGAAUCUAUCCUAAGUAUUGGUUCCAAGACAGAAGAAUGUUAAGGGCUAAGCAAUUGGGGUUAAGUGAUUUGCCCAGGGGCACACAGCUAGGAAGUGUCUGAGACUGGGUUUGAAUCCAGGACCUUUUGAGUAUCAAUCUGGCUCUCAGCUAUUCCUCAGCAUGAAUUUUUUUUUUAAGUUCAAAAAUCACUGUGUGGGCAUUUAACAAAUAUUUGAUGAAUUUUGUUUUGUUGAAUGCAUGGUAUGUUAGCUCAAUCCGAAGAAAAAUUGUAGCCCUUUGUCCUAUUAGUCUGAAGAGUCCUUUCUCCCCACUCAGAUUCGGAGUUCCUCGAGGGUAGAAGCUCUGUUGUUCGACUCUUGUUGUCCUCUGGCACCUCUCCACAUUCUCUGUUAGAAGUUGCACCUGGCUGCGUGCUCCCCCCACACUGUUGUCACCUAGUAGACAUCUGGGCCUCCUUCUCUUUCAGCGACAGGCUCAGGCUUGCUCUGGGUUCUGAUACCACUCACUGCCCUGGCUUGUGGACACAAGCAUACAGUUAGCCUUGUUGCUGUUCCUGCCUAAAAGUUGGUUCUAUGGUUAUUGAGUUCCCUAAUUGAUGCCCUAAUUCACCCCCUAAUACACACCCACACACCCUGUAACUGGGUUAGAGACUCCUUAAAGAUAAUCUUUCUGCUACUUCUCCUGGAAGUGACCUAAUCCUAAAUCACGAUCAUAAACAAAUUAAAUGAUUUCUGAGAACAAAUUUUCAUAACAGCUAUUUGUUCAACACUCCACUGAUGACAGAGUUUAAUUGAACUUCUGUGGCUGUCACCCACGGUGGACCAUUUCAUUCCACUCUUGGAUCCUAGCUGUUUCAUAGGGUGUGGUAAGAUCUCUUCAAUUGUGACUCCUGUCAUUCAUUUCCUGGUGUCCCGUUUGUGGUUUCUAUGAAACCUUAUUAUGUAGAGAAGAAUAUAUACUUUUUAAACUCUUAGCUUCCAUCUUAGAAUCAGUUCUAUGUAUUGGUUCCAAGGCAGAAGAGUGGUAAAGGCUAGGCAAUGGGGGUCAAGUGACUUGCCCAGAGUCAUACAGCUAGGAAAUGUCAGAUGUUAGAUUUGAACCCAGGCCCUCCUUUCUCUAGUCCUGGCUCUCAAUCCCCUGUUAACAUUUUAACAACUUAGAAUUUUGUAACUGAAAGUGCCAUUUUCCCUCUGGGAAAUACAAAUGAAUUGACAGUGUUUACAGUCGAAUAGAUAGAUAUUUUUUAUUUUUAUUAUUUUUUAAUUUAAUUUAAUUUUUUUAAAAAUUGUUAUAUUUUUGUUUUCCAGUUUGCAUGUAGACACAAUUUUUAGUAAUCAUUUUAACAUGUUUCUGUUCAUGUUUUCUCCUCUCCCAUCCCCCCCUUGCCAAGAUAGUAGGUCAGAUGCAUGUAUAUACAUGUACUAUCAUGCAACACAUAUUUCUAUGUUCAUCAAGUUGUGAAAAAAGACAUGUAGACAUCUAUUCUAUAGAGGAUAAUUAUUGUGAAAACCCCAUUCCUUCCAAAUCUUCAUCCCUUCUAUCACAGGGUAUGAUACGCAUAUAUACACAUGCAUACAUUUGUACAUUGUAAAUUUAAUCAUUAUUAUAAUUUUGAAAUGUUUGUAUGUUGAAUUAUUUAUGCCUAUAUCUUCACUCCUCCCCAUGGAUAGCUGAGAGUAGAUUAAUCAAUCUGCACUUAGGAUCAUGAUAUCACAGAUCUCAAUAUAGAUCUAAAACAUAUACUAAUAAUAGCAUAAUAAACUAAUAAUAAUAAUUAAAAGGAUCUCUGUGUUUUAGAAGUUUGGCUUUAACCCCACCCCCAAUAGAUUCUGAGUUAGAAUUCUUAUUGUAAAAUCAAAUCCUGAGACAAAUAAGCACCUCUAGGAGGCCCUCAAUUUCCCAUUGGAAGAAGAAACCCAGAUCCAUUCUCUUGACACUGGCUAUGCAAUUUGAGGCAGACCUCCCUGGGAAUACUUACAACUAUAUCAAUUAGCUAUUAUCCUGUAAAUGGUAAUUGUUCCUUGCUUUCUUUUGCUUUUAUCCUUCCAAAAUAACCAAAAAGGUCUCUCCCUUUUCUCUCCAAUAAUAACUUAUAGAAAAGUAUUUCUCUGAGGCCAAAACAGCCUUGGCAUCAUAGACAUUACUCUCCACCUCCCCCUUGUUAGCUAAACUUAAAUAGAGAAACUUUCUAAAUGAAUACUCUUAUUCCUCUUAAUUAUUUACUGAACUCAAAAAUCCCAAAGUGAAGGUCUGGAAGUGGAAGUAGCAGGUAACACCUUGCUCCCUGCCAAUCACUAUCCUGGAACCUCUGAAAAAGAGAAAGCAUCUUCAACACACUCCAGAGCUAGGAAUUUCAAUCAUAAAAUUGCAUAUAUGUAUAAACAUAAAAUGACUAUUUUUAAAAAGGGGGAGCUGCGGAGUCAUCUUCAGAGCUGCCAUGCCACUUGCUCCAGUUCAGAUGCUGGAUUGAAGCACCCUAUUCCCAUCUCUAGACUCCUGAAGCCUCUGUGGACUGUAUAGAGUGUCCGUUAUCCAAUCUUUGGACAUACAAGUCUUGAACGUAGACCUUUUCCUCUCUAUGGCAAAUGCCGAGAUCGUUCAUUUGGAGGGGCCUUGGCCACCGAAUGUAGGAAGUCACUUAGAGAGUCCUCAGCUGCAAUGAGUGGUCUUAAUUUAAUAGGUUUCACCUGGAGAUAAAUCAGUUUUUGUUGAAUUCAGCAAAUCAAGUGGCUAGCUUUUAGCCUUUACUCUUGUGAAAAGAGGUCUGCUUGACCCCAAAGUAUUUCUGUAAAUGUUUAACCAGUUUGUCAUUUGCUUUGAGAACAUGUUUUAAUCCUCUUCUAGUUUGACAAGAAAUCUUUUGAUAAGCUUUUCUGUGACUACCUUGCAGCCUUGUGUUUUGUAACCAUUAUACAUUUGUAUCUAGUGUACAUCUUUGGACACAUGAUUAUUACUAUUAUAGGAUAUAUCCACCUCAAAGCCAAAUGAUAUUUUCAUUACUCAGUAUUUUGAAUUAUUUGUGCCUCUAUCUUUACCCUCUCCCUAUGGAUAAUUGAGAGCAGAUUAAUGUUUGCACUUAGGAUCAUGGAAUCACAGAUCUCAAGCCAGAAGGGACCUCAAAAGAAUAUCCAAUUCAGUACCCUCAUUUAAAAGAUGAGGAAACUGAGGCUCAGGGAGUAUAAUGAAUUGCCCAACAUCACACAGGUAGUAUAUAACACAGGCAGGGUCCUCUGAUUCUAAAACCAAUGAUCUUUCCCACACCACCUAUUUACUUUUGGACUUUUUCAUGUUUCCACGUCCAACUUAUCAGACUAUAAAAUUCUUGAGGUCAAAGCUGGUGUCUCCACCAUCACCCCUUUUUAUCAGAGCAGGAAAUCCCCGAAGCUUAAAGGCAAUGUGGGGUAUCAUGGAAAGGAAGCUAAAUUUAGAAUUAGAAGUGCUAGGAUGUAACCACAGACAAAUCAUAUAACAUCUCAGCGCUACAGUUUCCUCCUCUGAAAAAAAAUGAAGGCAUCUAAUUCAAUGCAACAAACUUUCAAGUUCCUAAUUUAAUAAAUGAGACGUUCAUGAGGAGCCAGAGAAGAUGUGAAGAAGUUAAGAUAUGCUGCACUUUGCCCCAUAACAAGAUUGUGAUCACUUUAUGCCUCUAUACAGAGUAGACAAUACAGCAGCUGUUUCUGUCCCUGGAAGUUCAGUAAGAUAGCAUAGAUGGACAGAUAGCAUGUAUUGUGGCGUAUCAUUGCCAAGUCCGUGAGUAAGAUGCAGGCAAAAUGUUAUGUAAUCUGAAGGGAAAAAGGAGUUGGACUAGAUGGUCUAGUCAGGCAGAGUGAUAGAGUUCAAUUUGGAGUCAGAGGACCGGAGUUCAAUUCCCAGCGGUGAUCUUGGUCAAGUCAUUUUGGGCCCGAGUUUAUUGAUCUGUAAAAUGAGAGGGUUGGAGUAGAGUAGAUGGCCUCUGAGGGCCCUUCUAGAACCUCCAGCAGAAACAGCAAGGCGCCCUAAGGAGGAGGCGGGAGCCAGCACCUUGAGGCCAAGCCUCUUGGGAAGAGCAGAACCCCCAACCACCAGAUAAGCCAUAAGCAUCACCAAUGGGGAGAAAUCAUUGUGGAGACGGACCAAGCUUCUUCAUUACCACCAGCAGCAACUGCUGACCGACUGCCACCAAUAGUCAUAAAGGCACAGGAACCCCGAGAAUGGCAGCACCUUCUAGAUGGCCAGUCCUGCUUCCAACCCAGCCUCAUAGCCAUUAUGCAGGGAAGCAACUCCUGUGUCAUGGAGCUACCAGCCAUCUUCACCAACUGUGUAUGGCAAUACAUAGGGCAGCCAAGCCCGCCUGACUGAAGCAGUGAGAGUAGCAUACAGUCAGGAAAGUCAGACUACGACCACAGCCUUGACCCUCCAGCAUCUCCUCUCAGAUCCUGAUGGAGUCAGCCCAGGACCUUGAACCUUGGGGACAGCCAUCAUGCUUGGAAGCAACCCUGUGGAGAUGCAGAACUUCUCUUGUAGGUAAACUGGUUGGAUGAAACCUAGCAGCCAAAAUUCAGGGUGGAAGAUGGAGCUGAAGUUUGGAUCUUUUCUUUGUCCCAAACUCGUCUGACUUAAAAAAAAUUUUUUUUUUCGUAUCACCAGCACUUAGCUUGGCACAUAGAAAUCACUGAUUAAAUACUUGUUGACUGACUAAGAUACAAGUCAUCAUUUCUGGACCCCAAUUUCCUCCUCUGUAAUUAGGGAAUUGGGGCUGGGGAAUUGAUAGCUGAUGGUUUUUCUAGCUCUGUGUUUAGCACUGUGUUUGGUGGACAAUAAAUGCUUAGUAUCAAA